rnacentral:tRNA from 1 species
GCGGACUUAGCUCAGUUGGGAGAGCGCCAGACUGAAGAAAAACUUCGAUCAAGUCAUCUGGAGGUCCUGUGUUCGAUCCACAGAGUUCGCA